AGAGAGGUGCAAGAGUGGUUGAUCUGGCUACCCUGGAAAGGUAGUAUACUGGAAACGGUAUCGAGGGUUCGAAUCCCUUUCUCUCUGCCA
rnacentral:tRNA from 7 species